rnacentral:rRNA from 1 species
UACGUAGGGUGCGAGCGUUGUCCGGAAUUAUUGGGCGUAAAGAGCUCGUAGGCGGUUUGUCGCGUCUGCUGUGAAAACCUAAGGCUCAACCUUGGGCUUGCAGUGGGUACGGGCAGACUAGAGUGCGGGUAGGGGUGACUGGAAUUCCUGGUGUAGCGGUGGAAUGCGCAGAUAUCAGGAGGAACACCGAUGGGCGAAGGCAGGUCACUGGGCCGCAAC